GAUGAACGCUGACAGAAUGCUUAACACAUGCAAGUCGAUGGGGAAGUGGUGCUUGCACCAUGGUAACCAUGGCGGACGGGUGAGUAACGCGUAAGGAACUUGCCUGUGGGACUGGGAUAACAGCAGGAAACUGCUGAUAAUACCGGAUAAGGUCAUUAAGCUGCAUAGCUUAGUGAUGAAAGGAGACGCCUGCGGAGAGCCUUGCGUCCUAUUAGCUAGUUGGAGGGGUAACGGCCCACCAAGGCGAAGAUAGGUAGCCGGCCUGAGAGGGUGGACGGCCACAAGGGGACUGAGAUACGGCCCUUACUCCUACGGGAGGCAGCAGUGGGGAAUAUUGGACAAUGGGGGCAACCCUGAUCCAGCAAUUCUGUGUGCACGAAGACGGUUUUCGGAUUGUAAAGUGCUUUCAGCAGGGAAGAAGGAAGUGACGGUACCUGCAGAAGAAGCGACGGCUAAAUACGUG
rnacentral:rRNA from 1 species